rnacentral:rRNA from 1 species
GUGGGGAAUAUUGGGCAAUGGGCGAAAGCCUGACCCAGCAACGCCGCGUGAAGGAAGAAGGCCUUCGGGUUGUAAACUUCUUUUAUGAGGGACGAAGGAAGUGACUGUACCUCAUGAAUAAGCCACGGCUAACUACGUGCCAGCAGCCGCGGUAAUACGUAGGUGGCAAGCGUUGUCCGGAUUUACUGGGUGUAAAGGGCGCGUAGGCGGACUGGCAAGUCAGAUGUGAAAUCCAUGAGCUCAACUCAUGAACUGCAUUUGAAACUGUUGGUCGUGAGUAUCGGAGAGGCAAGCGGAAUUCCUAGGGUAGCGGUGAAAUGCGUAGAUAUUAGGAGGAACACCAGUGGCGAAGGCGGCUUGCUGGACGACAACUGACGCUGAGGCGCGAAAGCGUGGGGAGCAAACAGGAUUAGAAACCCGGGUAGUCC